ncrna:unclassified sequences DTF2800 RNA
GUCCUGAAUACGACAUAAAACUGUUCUUCCGCGCAGUCUGAGUCGCUUGAUCACCGGCUGCUCAACGGACUGUAGCGGGAAAAGUUAAUAUGCACGGCUGUCAUUUGAGCUGACGGCUGCAAUUCUGAAUGGAGUGAUCCUUCAGAGCUGCGGUCUAUUUGUCAUGCCCAUUUGCAGCUUGAGA